rnacentral:rRNA from 1 species
CACGUAGGGCGCAAGCGUUGUCCGGAAUUAUUGGGCGUAAAGAGCUCGUAGGCGGUCUGCUGCGUCCGCUGUGAAAACUCGGGGCUUAACCCCGAGCCUGCAGUGGAUACGGGCAGGCUAGAGGUAGGUAGGGGAGAAUGGAAUUCCCGGUGUAGCGGUGAAAUGCGCAGAUAUCGGGAGGAACACCGGUGGCGAAGGCGGUUCUCUGGGCCUUACCUGACGCUGAGGAGCGAAAGCGUGGGGAGCGAACAGG